CCAAUGUAAUUUCAAUCGUGUUAAGAG
rnacentral:piRNA from 1 species